AUUGAACGCUAGCGGGAUGCUUUACACAUGCAAGUCGAACGAGUGGCGGACGGGUGAGUAAUAUAUCGGAAAGUGCCCAGUAGAGGGGGAUAACUACUCGAAAGAGUGGCUAAUACCGCAUACGAUUGGAACGGCCGAUAUCGGAUUAGCUAGUUGGUGGGGUAAAGGCUCACCAAGGCAACGAUCCGUAGCUGGUUUGAGAGGAUGACCAGCCACACUGGGACUGAGACACGGCCCAGACUCCUACGGGAGGCAGCAGUGGGGAAUUUUGGACAAUGGGGGAAACCCUGAUCCAGCCAUCCCGCGUGUAUGAGAAGGCCUUCGGGUUGUAAAGUACUUUUGGCAGAGAAGCGGUAUCUGCAGAAUAAGCACCGGCUAACUACGUGCCAGCAGCCGCGGUAAUUC
rnacentral:rRNA from 1 species